rnacentral:lncRNA from 1 species
AUAUUUAUUUUAUUAUUUUAUUUCUGGGCUUAUUUGCAUUUUAGGGUUUAUUUGUGGUUUAUUUUAUUUCUGGGCUUAUUUGCAUUUUAGGGCUUAUUUGUGUUAUUUGUGGGUUUAUUAGGAUUUAUUUCUGUGUAAGGGGGGUUUAUGCAAGUUGUGUAUUUGGGCCCUAUAUAUAGGGAACUAUUUUCAUGAUUAGGGUUUAAUGAAGAAUUAAGAAUUUCCUUCCUCCACGUUUUCCUCUCCUUUCUCCUCCUCCCUUCUCCUUCUUCUCUUCUUCUUCCUCCUUCUCUUCCCCUCUUCUUCUGCUUCCAUUUUAAAUUUGGUUCGGCAUCAACUUGGUAUCAGAGCAAGGCUGGUUUUGCCCCUGCUGCCAAAGCCCCGAUCCAUCUCCCGGCUACAUCUUCCAAACCGAAA